rnacentral:lncRNA from 1 species
CUGACUGAUUGUUGUCACACACUAACUGUGACGUGCAGGAACAUUCUGGUGUGCAGAGAGCUCAGUGGUAAAGGUCUAAGGAUGUUGGAAAUCCAAUGUAGCUGGCUUCGCGAUGUCUCUCCAGCUCAUGGCUUGAUGAGUGGUGUAGUCCAACGCCUGGGAUCUGAACCUGCAAACCCCAGCCGCCAAAGCGGAGCACACUGAACUUACCCAUUAUGCUGUGGGACCGGCCCCAGACAUUUUCACAGACACUUGAGCUCCUAUCUUGAUGGCAGCAUGCUGCACAAAGAAUAAGAUAUGAAUCCUCAUACAUAACCAAGGAGAGAAC